rnacentral:rRNA from 1 species
UUUUCUUCUAAAAUAAUAAUUUUUCAAAUUAUUUCAAUUUUCUUUCACAAUACUAUUUAACUAUAAUUAAAUUUAUUUUUUCUUUAAACAAUACUAAAACUUUUUAAUAUAAAAUUAUUUUUAAUAUUUUAAAAUAAAAUAAAUAAAAUUAAUAAAUAAAAUCUAA